rnacentral:rRNA from 1 species
AUUGAACGCUGGCGGCAGGCCUAACACAUGCAAGUCGAGCGGUAGAGAGAAGCUUGCUUCUCUUGAGAGCGGCGGACGGGUGAGUAAUGCCUAGGAAUCUGCCUGAUAGUGGGGGAUAACGUCCGGAAACGGACGCUAAUACCGCAUACGUCCUACGGGAGAAAGUGGGGGCUCUUCGGACCUCACGCUAUCAGAUGAGCCUAGGUCGGACUAGCUAGUUGGUGAGGUAAUGGCUCACCAAGGCGACGAUCCGUAACUGGUCUGAGAGGAUGAUCAGUCACACUGGAACUGAGACACGGUCCAGACUCCUACGGGAGGCAGCAGUGGGGAAUAUUGGACAAUGGGCGAAAGCCUGAUCCAGCCAUGCCGCGUGUGUGAAGAAGGUCCUCGGAUUGUAAAGCACUUUAAGUUGGGAGGAAGGGUCGUUACCUAAUACGUGGCGAUUUUGACGUUACCGACAGAAUAAGCACCGGCUAACUCUGUGCCAGCCGCCGCCGUAAUAC